rnacentral:rRNA from 1 species
UACGGAGGGGGCUAGCGUUGUUCGGAAUUACUGGGCGUAAAGCGCACGUAGGCGGCUUUUUAAGUUAGAGGUGAAAGCCCGGGGCUCAACUCCGGAAUUGCCUUUAAGACUGCAUCGCUCGAAUUGUGGAGAGGUAAGUGGAAUUCCGAGUGUAGAGGUGAAAUUCGUAGAUAUUCGGAAGAACACCAGUGGCGAAGGCGACUUACUGGACACAUAUUGACGCUGAGGUGCGAAAGCGUGGGGAGCAAACAGG